CGCCUACGGGACGCAGCAGUGAGGAAUAUUGGUCAAUGGGCUAAGGCCUGAACCGGCCAAGUCGCGUGAGGGAAGACGGUCCUAUGGAUUGUAAACCUCUUUUGUCAGGGAACAAAGGCGGGGACGUGUCCCCGGAUGAGUGUACCUGAAGAAAAAGCAUCGGCUAACUCCGUGCCAGCAGCCGCGGUAAUACGGAGGAUGCGAGCGUUAUCCGGAUUUAUUGGGUUUAAAGGGUGCGCAGGCGGUCUGUUAAGUCAGCGGUCAAAGCCCGGGGCUCAACCCCGGCCCG
rnacentral:rRNA from 1 species